rnacentral:rRNA from 1 species
AGUGAACGCUGGCGGUAGGCCUAAUACAUGCAAGUCGAACGGCAGCACAGUAAGAGCUUGCUCUUACGGGUGGCGAGUGGCGGACGGGUGAGGAAUACAUCGGAAUCUACUUUUUCGUGGGUGAUAACGUAGAGAAACUUACGCUAAUACCGCAUACGACCUACGGCUGAGAGCAGGGGAUCUUCGGACCUUUCGCGUUUGAUUGAGCUGAUGUCGGAUUAGCUAGUUGGCGGGGUAAAGGCCUACCAAGGCAACGAUCCGUAGCUGGUCUGAGAGGAUGAUCAGCCACACUGGAACUGAGACACGGUCCAGACUCCUACGGGAGGCAGCAGUGGGGAAUAUUGGACAAUGGGCGCAAGCCUGAUCCAGCCAUACCGCGUGAGUGAAGAAGGCCUUCGGGUUGUAAAGCCCUGUUGUUGGGAAAGAAAAGCUGCAGAUGAAUACCCCGCUGUUCUGACGGUACCCAAAGAGUAAGCACCGGCUAACUUCGUG